AACCUGCGGAGGGAUCAUUACACAAAUAUGAAGGCGGGCUGGAACCUCUCGGGGUUACAGCCUUGCUGAAUUAUUCACCCUUGUCUUUUGCGUACUUCUUGUUUCCUUGGUGGGUUCGCCCACCACUAGGACAAACAUAAACCUUUUGUAAUUGCAAUCAGCGUCAGUAACAAAUUAAUAAUUACAACUUUCAACAACGGAUCUCUUGGUUCUGGCAUCGAUGAAGAACGCAGCGAAAUGCGAUAAGUAGUGUGAAUUGCAGAAUUCAGUGAAUCAUCGAAUCUUUGAACGCACAUUGCGCCCUUUGGUAUUCCAAAGGGCAUGCCUGUUCGAGCGUCAUUUGUACCCUCAAGCUUUGCUUGGUGUUGGGCGUCUUGUCUCUAGCUUUGCUGGAGACUCGCCUUAAAGUAAUUGGCAGCCGGCCUACUGGUUUCGGAGCGCAGCACAAGUCGCACUCUCUAUCAGCAAAGGUCUAGCAUCCAUUAAGCCUUUUUUUCAACUUUUGACCUCGGAUCAGGUAGGGAUACCCGCUGAACUUAAGCAUAUCAAUAAGCGGAGGA
rnacentral:rRNA from 1 species